rnacentral:rRNA from 1 species
UUUUACAAUGGAGAGUUUGAUCCUGGCUCAGGAUGAACGCUAGCUACAGGCUUAACACAUGCAAGUCGAGGGGCAGCAUGGAAGAAGCUUGCUUCUUCUGAUGGCGACCGGCGCACGGGUGCGUAACGCGUAUCAAACCUGCCUCAUACUCGGGGAUAGCCUUGCGAAAGUAAGAUUAAUACCCGAUGUUAUUAGUUCAUCGCAUGGUGGACUAAUCAAAGAUUUAUCGGUAUGAGAUGGUGAUGCGUCCGAUUAGGUAGUAGGCGGGGUAACGGCCCACCUAGCCUUCGAUCGGUAGGGGUUCUGAGAGGAAGGUCCCCCACACUGGAACUGAGACACGGUCCAGACUCCUACGGGAGGCAGCAGUGAGGAAUAUUGGUCAAUGGGCGUAAGCCUGAACCAGCCAAGUAGCGUGCAGGAUGACGGCCCUAUGGGUUGUAAACUGCUUU